UUAAAUAUAUGAAGCGAAAGUCAUUGGCCAAAAGUGUGUGUGUGCGCGGAAAACGAGUGGGGCAUUAAAACCGAAUAGAAAUUAAAUUCUGAAGCAGAAAGCAAGAAACAACAAACGAAUUCAGAGCCAAAGCAAAAGCAUAAGCAAACAAACAAAACAAUUAUAAUAAGCGACCGGCGGGCAAAAAAACAAGGCGUGACAGCCAAAGGGAGAAGAAAUUCGGAGUUUUCACUCAGCUGUUCCAAGGAACAGCUGGUAUCUGGUAUCUUUUUUAAAUGUAUUGCGCCACUUGCAGUGCAAGGGAAAUUAAAUUCUUAUAGCACUCAUAAAACCCACCACACUCCACACCUUUUCAGUGCAGAAAGACCAAUGGCCCACAUACAAUCAUCAGAUGAACUUUAUUUAUUAACCAAGUGGCAAUGCAGCCCCACAUUAAUAUUGUUUCGCUGGUAAACCCCCUCCCUCGUCGCACCGUCACUGCUCUUUGGCUUUCCAAUUCAUUAACUUAAUUUUCUUUGUCAGCAGCUGAAAAAAUCACAUUGGGGCAGGGCCAUAAAGCAGUUUUCAAUUUCAGCAUUUAAUAGGCAAAAUAUUUACUUUUUUGCUUGCUCCUAUCAGAGACAAACCUUCCCCUUUGCUCGCUUUCUGACGCCGAAAUUAAAAAUUGAAAUUGGCAAGUGAAGAAGACGGAGGGCAAAUAAAAAAUUGAACAUUUAGCGAAGUUUGUUUUGGUGUCUGGUCGCUGGUCGCUGGUCUCUGGUCUUCUCUCUUCUAUUACGAUUAAUGACUAAGAGAAAUAAACGAAAGUUGCGGCAAGAAAAUUAAGAAAAGUGCAGAACUGAGACUCCACUGACUCAUCCACUUGAUCUCGCUGACCUCGUAAACAAGUUUCACAAUUUAUGUGAAAAGUAAGCUUCUGCCUGGAAAAUCACAAACAAAUAAACAGUUUGAAAUAAAAAGAAUACGCUCAUAGUGAAGUGUCAUUUAUCUGGUAGUCCCCUGUCAUUCAAAUUCCAACUGAACCUAUUGAAAACUAAUUAUUCACUAAUGGGCUUAUCACUAAAUCGCUUCUGCAAAACUUAUCCAUCCGCUCGAGCGAACAGACCGAUAGAGUAAAACUUUGACUAUAAUUUGGACUGCUAAUGAAGCCAGCUUCGAUCAAUAGGAUGACCAAUUAGGUACAGUGGGCACUGCCAGAUACGCAAGUGUAUAUAGAUGUUCACUGCAAAGUGAAUGCAAUUAAAAGUUUGCUCGCCCAAUCGUCCUUUUUAGACUCCCACACCAACACAUCAACACACAACACACCAACACAAACACACACAUGAGUUAACAAACAAGCAUACAAGUGCACAGGCAGACAAAAGGGCUUAAGCAAACAAAUUUGUCGAGCGCCAACUUUUGCCUCAGACUGUGUGCAACUGGUUGGCAAGAGAGAAGAAAUUCAAAGGGAGCCCCCACACACAACACACAACAUACAACACACAACAUGCAACACACAUGAAUCUGCCCCUCUUUGCGUUUUAGUUCGCCUGCAAUUUAUGUCAAAUUAAUUAAGAUGAUGCGCAAUCAACAACAGCGAAGCAGAAACAAGCACAAAAACCGUGGAGUAACUUCACCCUCCAGUAACACCAACUAUGUAAUACGCUUUUUAGUUUGCUGACAUUACUGUUCCCAGUUGCUCAGUUUAUGGAAAUGAGAAAAUCCUUAUUUUACCCAAGUAUGCCCGAACUACUUUCCAAUAAAUUGGCUUCAUUUACAUGGCAUAUGAUAUGUGAUAUAACGAGUAGCCAAAGCACUGAACCAAGUCGGCAUACCCGCUCAAAAGCUUAAAACUAAGGCAACAUACAAGUCCGUACGUACGAGGAAUGUACUUCCCCAGGCCCUUCCCCUUUUUCGCUGUGAGAGAGACCACUUAAACUUCGAUUUAAAAGAGCUUGGCUUAUUAUUUGCCCCAGCCUUUUGCUCUUUGACAAUUGUCAACUCACAAUGUGCUGUUCUGGUAGUUGUACGGCAUAGAGGCACAGAGACACCGCCAACAACAAGUGGAACAAAGAGUUGAACAACAUAAUUACCACAUAAUUAUAUAAGUACCGCGCCCCCAACCGCCCUUCAUUAAUAACUUGAGCCAACAAAAGAAAUCAUCGCAACGAAAGUUUAGCUUUCCUUUUGAAAAUGGAGCACUUCGGCAUAUUGUUUUACGCUUCUUUUUUUCUUGAGCAACUGUCAAUGGGAUAGAGGGAUCCCUGCAAACAGGAAAAAUCUCUACAAUUACCGUGAUUUGAGGACGGCUCCGGCGGAAAAUUCCCCAAAGGGAAUAUGAGAAAUGCCCUGCAUGCACGCAAGCCACAAAUAACUCGAAUAGUGGGACAAAGAACAGGCUAAUUCGGAGGCUUCUCCUUUUGGAAGUGGCAGUGGGUGGUGGUAAUGGAAAUCUAUUCCACUCGCUCCAUUAGAGCCUUUGUUUCCCUGUCGAAUUUAAAGUGAUUGCUUUGUAUUUUUCACGUUGGCAGAGACCAAGGGCUUACGUUUUGAUGUUACCUUCGAGGCUAUUUGCACGGGCUUUAAAGCCGAAUGUGAGUGCCAAAUGACUGCAAUUGUAUGCAAGAUUAUGAUUACAAUUCCACGGACAUUCUAUUUUAAUUAACAAUUGGAAACUGUUGAGCCAUUUUGAUUGAUGCACUCGUAAUGACAUGUCAUUCACCAGGAGAUUAAAGGUCGCAAAUCGAUGACAUCAAUUCUGAUAAGCAAGCAGAUAUUUACAAUUAUAGUAUCAUAAUGAUGAAAUUCUAAAAUAACAUACACAACUGUUUUUAUCCCCCAUAUUUAUGGCCCACUUCAAUACCCACUUCUUUUCAAUGUUGCUUAGCAUUGCAUUGAACAUGAACUUUCUGAUUGAAUUAAACCUGUCAAUUAGGGAACUACAUUAAGACUUAAUGAGCGAUUUCUGGUUUCAAUGAAAGCCUUUUCGCACAGAAACAAAGAACUGUGAGGACUGUGUUUUGCCUAAAGUAUCGCGCCUGCAGACAGUUUCCCCAAUUUUCCCCAAAAGAGAUGCAUACGACAUGAAAAUGAUGAUGACAAUUCAUUUCGAGGAGUUUGGAAUACCUUUUUCUGCUCAUACACAUAAAAAAAUACUGAUUAAUGUUGAAAAGUCAUUCGUAAUUUUCAUAUACUAAACUAAAAAGGAAAAGGCCAAUGCCUAACUCUAUUAUCUCUAUCUCUAGUUAGCCAAAAUCGUGCUGAUACUAAUAACAUUUUCUUUCUGUGUACUACUUCUAUUGACCAUUUCCGCUUCUUGCUUGUGUAGCCCGCUCCCCGCUCUCUUCGCCAAAAAGCAGUUGGCAACAGGCAACAAAAGCGAGGAGGCAACACAACCAAAGGCUAAAACUGAACUGAGUCACAACACCAAGACCCAUUCAAAAGAGAGAGAUCAAUAUUCAUGAUUCAUGCCAUUGGCAUGCAUCUGGUUACCAAUGAGUUUUGGGUUUGGGGUUGAGGUAGGAAUGGGGGUGGGGGUUUUAGUAUACAGGUAUGUAUGUACAUAUGUACAUAUAUGGGCUGUUCCACCGGCUUUAUGAGUUAGGCACAAUUCUUCAAUGCUUGACAAAGCCCAAAACCUAAAGCGACAGCAUUUCCCAUUUAGAACUCAUUCCACAUUUUCCCUGUUUUUUGGGAGCCAGGUUAAAUCACCGCGCCGUUUUCCCCAGCCAGGCUAAUAGCUAAUCGCACGGCCAACAUCCAUCAUCGAUACUAAAUUGAACAUGGCAACUCAUUCAACGCAACACGAAUUCAUAACCAAUGAACUAAUGAACCACUGAACCGAUGAGAAUGAACACACAUAACACCCUGUUGGUGGGGACGAAGUUGUAUUUUUGUUUGGAAUAAAACAGGUUAUGAAAUUCCAGCGAAUUUACGAAUUUACGGUUUUCCCUAGCGCAUAAUCAUUUCGCACAUGUAUACAAAAAAUUGAUAACGGACAAAAUAAAUUGAAAAAACAAUAUUUUUGUAAUUAUUCCUCAGCGGAGACCAAGCCAAAGAACCCAGAAUAAAUAAUGGUAACGUAAACCAGUGAUAAGCUGGGAAUGACUGUGUUGCAACAACAAUAGAAGAAUAAAUGUUGAAACAUUUAAGCCAACACAUGGGGCUCAUUACAGGGGGCUGGGUGAAAUGCCCACUCUAUCACAAUUUUUUCUAGGUUCCACCUUCGUAUGUCAACAGUCGGGUGUGAUAAGAUUUUCUUUUUGUGUCCGCCCGAUUGUUUUGCUGGAUUUCUGGUGCUGGAUUGUGUGUGCGCCCAUUAUAACACACAUAUUACGAAUGGCUCCAGUAUUCGGCUUUAUUAUCAUUAUCAGGCUCCUGCGCGCUUGCUAUUAUUGCAUGCUAUUAUGAUUAUCUGCAACAGUUAAGGGUGGAGAAAGUAUUUGCCACCUGCAGCGGGGCGGAUUUGGUCAAAACAAAACGAAACAAAACCAAAUGUAAGACUAUGAGCAAUGCUUCAAUCUAGUGCCUCUAGUGCGACUAUCAGAUACCCGAUACACAGCUGGAAAAUACUUCAAUUUAAUUAAGUAGAAUAUAAGAAUAUAAGGCAGAGGUAUAUGAAAUAUUUGACCAGCAAAAGGGCUCCAAUCUGGUCAACAGUCAAAGGAAACCGCAAAGGUGCCGCAGUGCAGAGAGGAAACCCCUUCCCAGUUAGCAAAUCUCCGAAGAUGAAGUUGAUCGAAAUGCAAACAGACAGCAACUGAGCAAACUUCACAACGCCGACCCAGAAUGACUUCUGCUCCGCAAAUAAGGAGGUGGGGAGAUUCAAAGCCUAGUGGUACGUAAGUCGUUAAGUGGGGAGAUUGGGGUUCUGACAACGUGCACAAGCACCGAAAAAUACAUCACCUCACAUUCUUCCCUGUGCUACUGCUUGUUUUACCACUGUUGUUCACUUGCCUGGUUCGGUUCCCUUGCUCCCUAUACAUUUUUAAAAGAGUCAACAAUCAAGGGUGCGGCAGCAGGGUACGGGGGGUUUUGGUAAAUUUUAUGUAACCAGAUUCGAGUCCAGAAGAAGGUGAUAAAGCAGCGCGCCGAGUGGAAUAUAAUAAGAAAAGGGAACUCUACAGACGAGCACCUCGACUAUCAAAUACCCGUUACUCGCACUCCCCGUGUGAGCGAGAUAGCGGUGGUUACAGGCUUCGCUCUACCUGUUACCUACUUUAUAAAGAAUCCUGUAUACCCUCUUUCCCCAUGGGUAGAGUAACGGGUAUAAUGAGUAUGUGUGCGCUAUAAAAUUGGCAAUCGCGCCGCAAUUACAGCCCCUAUUUGUUGGGUGCCAAGCUACAUGGGCAACGCAUGCACAGGUGUAGGAACGUGUGACCGCAUAGUUAGGGCAAAUAAGCGUUUUAGCGGCCCAUAAUGGGGUUAAGGGUUCGAAAAGGCGAGCCAUGAGGAGUACGGAGUUAAGAAAGUAUUCAGUAUAAGACUGCAUCUAAGACUGGCUGAUAUUAUUACUUAUCUGAUUCUAUUACUUGGUGUUCCUGUAAGUUGCCACGGUUCAAAACUAAUGCUAAAAUUAAUGGAAAACCUAUGGACGUUUCAAGUCACAGUCUAGUAGUGCCUCUCUCUCGCACGAAUUGGUGGCAUAUUCGACAUGGGGCAUACUUUUGGUACGGUCGUUCGGAACGUACUAUUUCUUACUUUCGGCUACCUGCCUCUGAAACUCCCAGCUCUUUCCUUGUGCCACAUCGUCCCGGCUCGGCUCAUUCCACGUAAUUCGAGACGUGUGCAACAUCGAGGCAUGUGUGUUGUGUGUGCGUGUGUUGCAACACAUGCCACACAUGGGAGUGUGUUCCUUGUAUCUGUGAUUUGGGAACCCAAAAAGGUAGCCCUGAGAGGGCUGUGUGUGUGUGUGUGUGUGUGUGAGUGGAGUGUCUGUAUGAAUGCAGUCAAAGACCGGAACUCUCUAAUGAUAGCAGUUUUCUUCUUUUAGAAUAUGUCCUCUUUCUCUUCUUGUUUUUCUUCGUUGCGACGUCUUCUUCUCCGGUCUUCUGAAUUUGUUUGUCUUCAACUUGCACCUGGCUUCGACCCGCAACUAUGGAUCCGAGCAUUCCACUUCUUCAAAUGAGGUUCCAAAGAGUUUUUAUCUAUUUAUUACAAGAAAUACAUUAAGUCAACUUACAAAAAUGCGAUGUAUAAAGCUAUGCUCUUGGUAUUAAAUAGGGUAUCUGCUACAUGGGCCUACCCCAUCUCAAGCGCUCUUUCAGUAUGCAAGUCACAUCAAAAUGUCCCGACUGCUGCGGCGGUUACUUUCCAGCUUAUGCAAAUGCGCCCAGCGGAGGUAAGCACACAUGCAAUGACAUACACUGCACCCAGAACCCCCCGCCACACCCCUGGGCCCCCUGCCAUGCGAUCGGCUUCGUAACCUGGCCUUGAUCGCGCUGCUUUUUGCGGCCAAGAACCUCUCUUCGCUCAAUCACUCGCUGUCUUCGUUGUACAUCGUUGUGUCACCCCUCCAAGAUGCCCCUUUGCCACACACCUCUGCAACUCUGCAGCUCUGAAAUGGCGCGAAGGUUCUGGCCCUCUCGCAUAUUAAUGAGGGAAGAAGUGCGGAAAAUGCAAUACAACUCUUCACAAAUCAAGGUAACAAUUAAAAAAUAGCACUCAAAAUCGGCAAUCAACAUUCAAAGGUGUGUCUUCGGGGGUGGGAUUAUUAAUCAGCGACCACUAACGGCUUCAUUAGAAGCCACAAAAAUAUUCCUUACCAAAUUUAUAAAUAAUUCAUUAUUGACCGUUUGGAGAAACCAUAGAGAAGCCAUGCACUUAUUGAAAUGCGUGGCAAGCAGAGGGAAAACGUGGGUUCGAAAUAUUACAAAAAUGGACUCCACAAACAUUUGCUGUAUCUGGUAUCAUUAGAUACGAUUAAGCACACUGAAACUCGAUGAAACGGAAGGUUGAAACAGGAGUAUCUGUAGUAUUCAAUUACACUGAAAGAUUAUAUUGAAAAGAUUUUCGUUGCGAGCCAAUAUUAAUUACUAGCAUUAAUUGGCCAUAUUUUGUGCCAGCUUGAAAACAAAUACUUUCAAAAGUGCCGGAUGCAACUAACUAACUCAUAUUUACCGUCUCCUUCUGCCAGUUGAAGUUGCGUACUUGCUAAUUUUGCAGUUUUUGAUUUUUAAACACUUUAGAAAGUUUAGCAACUAACGCUAAACUUGCUAAAACCGUUUUAAGGCCACUCAAAACGAAGCAUCUACUCAUGUUUAAUUUGCUUCAUUUCGGGAUCGUAAAACUGUUGCCUUAUUUGUCGCCAUUUGCCAGUUAAAAUUUCAAACUGUGCGAGACACAUUUGACUUUUGGGCAAUCAAUCUAUCGUUCUACGGGGGAGAUCCCCAAAGGGGGGAAAAUCAGCGGGAAAGCGGAAAAGCGGGAAAAACUGCAAUGCGGGAACGGGAAAGCGGGUGCUUUGUACAGGAAUAAUGCUCCACAUAUGCUGGUCAAACAUUGUCCCGCUGGUUGGAAUUUGGCAGUGAGAGGAGCAGCGAGAGUGCAAGGAUAAUGCCAGGACGAACAAAAGCCCUCAUUCGGGGACCGAUGGCUAUGAUGGCUCCGAUGGCCAUUUUGUGGGUCAAUCAAUUUUUGACGCAUUCGAACAAUAGGAGGACGGAUAAAUGCGAUUUAUAAAGUGCGGUCGGUCGGGUGCAUUCGUUGUUAAAUUAGGCGUGUGCUGUGCAAUGCGGACGUGUAUUGUGUAUUAUGGCAAUUAAAUAGUUAAGACUCUUAUGGAAAGCACUCUGCUAUUGGCCAUCAUUAGCUGAGGAAUCAAAAAUCGAUCCCUUAGUUUUAGCCUUGCUUCCCCCUGUCGAAUUGGCAUUUUUCCUAUAUUGGAGAGAAAUUUGUUAGCUAAAGGCGCUUACUGGCUUAUGAAAUGCCAAUCCAAAAAGCAAGCUUGUUAACGGAAAAUGUGCAGUGGCAAACGAAAGGAGAUUUUCAGUUCGUUUCCGAGAUUGUGUGGCAGGAGCAGCUUGACAGGAGCAGGACAUCGAGAAUGUGUCCCGCCGCCAACCGCCCCCCGCCCCCAAAGAGAGUCGGUCGACAAGCGAAAUGGAAACACUUUUCCCAGCCAUAGACACUGGAAUAACAGUAACAGUAUAAUAUCAUGUCACCAUGCUGAUGAAUAUGACCACCCAAACCCUUUCAUCUACCAAAAAUAUGCCAGCAAAGGAACAGCAAAUACGAAAGGGAAAUGCAGCUGAGCACUAAUCGAAUUUCCAUAGAUGGAUGUGCCCAUUGCAUUAUUAAAGACAGAUCGUUCAUACACCUAAAAAAGUAUAUAUAUAUAGUUGCUUGUGAAAAACAGUAGACAGCCAAUUAAUAUGCUCAUUCAAGCAGUGGUCGCUUUAUGAUCACCGUUGCCUAUUGAAUAUCAGACUUUCGCUUUUGAUGGUGAUUUUUUUGGUUUAUUUUUCCGCUUUUUUUGAUCCGCUCUGUUUACAGCACUCGAGUUUAAUUGACUUGCUGUUAUGAAACGCACUGUGCAUCUCUGUUUACGUUAUAGAGCCGCAUACCCAUACCCAGGCAUCAUCAUCAUUCGCUCGCUCUAUAUUGUUUAAAUUACAUAUUUCUCUCGUUCACAGUCAAUUCCCUUGAACAAUCUUUAUAAAUUAUUUCGCCGAGCUCCCAUCUGCUACUCUUUUUUGUACUUAACUGCUUUUUUCGCGCCUUAACCUUCUCCAUUCGCAACUGAAAAACAACAAUAAGCGACACAAAGAGCUUAAAAAGUCAUUUCAUGUUCGUUUCUCGGUCGUUUUCAUAACUUUUGGCGUAUUUAGGUUGUCUUUUUGGCUUGAAAAACGAUUUCGUUGCACUGUUAACUGUUAAACUAAUGUCACGAGUUAAUGAAUAGCUAGUGGGAGAUAUGAAAAACAGGUCCUAAGGCGCGACCCAACCCCAAGUUGAAGCCAAUAAUGAAACUGUCUUCGGCUUUGCUUUUGUUUGCCGUGUAACCCGAGAUGAUGCCAGAAAAUGUCCAUGGGAACCUCAAACUAGCCAAAAAAGAUGCAAACAAAAACGGAAACCUGGUCAUAGGGUUUUUGCACUACAAAAAUCAAUUGAUGUUGCUUUUCAAUGCUAAAUGAUUGCGAGGCAAACCAAAACUUUAAAAAACCAUGAACUACGCGAAUACGAAACCAAUAUUCGAAAUCCUCUGCAAAAACAUUGAUUAAAUAUAUUUAGUUCGUUGACAAAAUGAUGAUCUUCUGUGUACGACUUGGCCAAGGAACGAGAGGAGUGAGGAGGGGAUGGAAGGCGGCCAACAAGUGCGGAAAGACGAGGCGAAAGAAAAGCAGCUGGUCAAACAAUUUGCAUAUUCAGAUUCCAGAUUUCUUCGUCAUGUUCGCUAUAUAUUUUCCGUUUCCCAGGCAGACAAACAGUUUGACAUCAACUACACUGCAAAGUGGGCGGGAGGAGGCGAAGCACCUGCAGUGGGCGGGCCGAAUAUAAACAAAAACAGAAAGAAGAGCCGCCAGACACACAGAAAAGCAAAGCAGACGGAAGACGAGAAAGCGCACAAAAUAUUAAGCUAAUUCAGCACUUUCCACGCUCGGUUGCAGUGGAUACCCCAAACUUGCACCCACCGCCCAUCCGCCCAACUUCCAAGGUCAUCGGAUUGCAGUGAGUGGAAACCCAAUUAUCGCAAAAGUAUUUAUGCACAUGAUCAGCGUGGCUUCCAUUGCAUUGCUUGAUAAACUGGAGACUUCCCAUUAGCUGUAGGUUAUCAAAGUGGCAAGAGUUUGCUUGUAAUAUGGCUUUUGGUGCAACGCAAAUCUUCGGCUGACAAGUAUACUCUAUAAAGAAAAGGAUUUACUUUGCUUAUGUGGGCUUGCAACUCCUAUCUAUAUAGAGUGCUAUUUGCGGAACCCACGGAAUUAUGGAAUGCAUGCAACGCCCCCGCAAAACCGAAGGCCUUCAAAUACAAACAGCAACACAAACAGAGCCUUAGGGUCUCUUUGUGGCGACUCCGUCCUCCCCAAAAUGUAUGCAACUCUGCCCCAUAGACUGUUUAGACGCCCCAUUCGCGAGCUGCGAAUCGGAAAAUUGUUGAUUUUGUAUUUAAUAUUUAGUUUGCGCUAUAUUUGCUAUAUUGUUUGGAUCCCUAGCCGCGGGGGCACGGAACUACUGUGUAAACAAAUCGCGGCAUUAAUAAACAAAUGCACGGGGCUUUGGCGAAA